GCGCAAACGUGACCCCAUAGAGUUAGUAGAACAACUCUAGAGGAAAAGCUGGGCCGGAAAAGUGGGAACCUCUAGGGCGCCGCCCUGUUGCUACUGGUCAAUGUGGCCAGCGCAAUUACUAUUGAAAGAGCUGAAAACAAGUACAGGUCACCGUAUGCUUUGUCAUCUAAAAACGCAUACCUGAGGUUUUAUGAAGGUGGUGCGUUAAUAUUAAGUUUACAGAAAGCGAUCACUAAGUCCGUGACUUAUGUAAAUCACGAAGUACGCAUUCAUGCAAUAAAGGAUGACGCGAAUUUCGGUUUCGAAUCUGUUUUUUGGAUGCGUAGUAGUUUCGUACAUUUAGGUUUGACAUGCGAUCGCGCGUCGACAUCGGACGCUAUGGCACACUCGUGCCUUAUGUGCCACCGAAGCCCCGAAGUGCCCAGGCAUAUACCUUCACAUGUAAGUAAACGAAUGUAUCUCCUUGUUGAGAAUAUCACGCGAGUAGGCAGCUCUUGUGGGGCAUCACAAUCGUUUGAGAAGCGUCACAGUAGAGCAUUUUUCUACAUGCGGAGCGGCGUUUUUAUUUGCAGGUUUCCCUUCAGUAGGAAAUUGCUGGACAGGCGGACCAGCGCACCGGAAUUGUACUGGCGAAGCCACAAGCAACUCAAAGAAUCUGUUUAAUUGUUGCACUUUGAACAAUCAUGCUUACAAAGGCCACAGCAGAAAAACAGCCUGAUGUCGAGUAUUUCUGUGCCACGAAGUAAUCAAGAGGCGAGUGCCUAAUGCGGACGAAAUCGAGUGCAUCGAGACUUAGAACGACAGAAAGCUGAGCUAGUUGAUAUGCAAUGGCAAGCCCUUCCGUGUGUUCCAAAGGUAAAAUUUAAGCUCUAAAUUAAAGAAGACAUUUCUAGUCAGAAACAAGCAAAAAUGGUGAAUGCAGAGUAUCAGAAGCCCAAGGUACAGAAAUUAUGAGAAGUGUCGAAUGAUUUUAAGGAAAGAAUGGUAUUUGAAGAUGCAAGAUUCUUUAGUGGAAAUCAAGCAAGUCAGUAUAGGUAGAAUACUCUGAGAAAUUAUGCAAGUAAUGGGAUAGCACACAAUGGGUCAGGAAAUGCGUUGUUUUUCUGAAAAACUAAAGCUGAUGACUGUCAUAUCAUGAGUCACUUUAGCAUCAUGAGACUGCUGUUUGAUAAAUUCAGAUAACAAACCAAAAAGCAAGCCAUGCAAAAAAAAAAACUAUUUAAUGAUGUUCUCUCCACACUGGGAUAAAUAAUAAGAAACGGAUCACGUCUAAUGUGGACAUAUCGGAUACCUUGUGAAACACUAAAGGAAAAAUUCAGUUUCGAGCUAUGGCACUUGCCGCAUAGAUGUGGGGGGCCUUGCACCAAUAGUAAUAGUUACCACUGCAUCUAGAAAUUGAAAGCAUUCAUGCAGACAAGGAUGAUUCUUUAUAUUUUUGGCUACCACUUCAAAUGCCUCCACUAAGUGUUACAAUGCUGCACGCAGCCAUACAAAGGAUCUCACAGCAACACUUGCAGGUAAACAGCAAAAACAGUCAAAGUGCUAAUGUAUUCUGGACACUGUCUUUGAAAACUUUUAGGCAAGAACAGUGCAAGAAAAAGAACUGCAUUUAUUUCUAUAAUUCCCCAUUUGAAGGGCCUUUUCUUUUUCCUUCAACAAUGCCUUCGCCUAGCCACAGCAGCUCCCUCAUGCAGACUCCGCAAGCCAAGAGGCCGUGGAGGCAAAUGCAAACAGCCAGCACACCUCGAACAGCCACCUUGACUGCGGGUGUAUCACCCUAGUCGCCAAGGAAACAUUUGAGGGAAAGCGACAGGCAAUGUGAACAGCCACUUCUCCAUGUAAACGAUACUCUUUCUCUCGGAUGACUGCUACGUUCGCCACACCAGCACACGAGGCACGUGCAGGUCAGAGGCAAGAAGCAGUGGCACUGGUGUCGACACUCACCCAAUUUCUUUUUCUUACUCUGGGGCAGCCAGCACACCUCGAACAGCCACCUUAACUGCGGGUGUGUUAGUAGAUUCCUGUUGUACAUAUGCUCAUAAUAAACUUCAGUAAACUUGAACUUGAUAAUAAACUUGAAGGCAAAUGGGA